rnacentral:rRNA from 1 species
GACGAACGCUGGCGGCGUGCUUAACACAUGCAAGUCGAACGAGAAUCUUUGAACAGAACUUUUCGGAGUGACGUUCAAAGAGGAAAGUGGCGGACGGGCGAGUAACGCGUGAGUAACCUGCCCAUAAGAGGGGGAUAAUCCAUGGAAACGUGAACUAAUACCGCAUAUUGUAGUUAAGUUGCAUGACUUGAUUAUGAAGGAUUUAUCGCUUAUGGAUGGACUCACGUCAGAUUAGAUAGUUGGUGAGGUAACGGCUCACCAAGUCAACGAUCUGUAGCCGAACUGAGAGGUUGAUCGGCCGCAUUGGGACUGAGACACGGCCCAGACUCCUACGGGAGGCAGCAGUGGGGAAUAUUGCGCAAUGGGGGCAACCCUGACGCAGCAACGCCGCGUGCAGGAAGAAGGUCUUCGGAUUGUAAACUGUUGUCGCAAGGGAAGAAGACAGUGACGGUACCUUGUGAGAAAGUCACGGCUAACUACGUGCCAGCAGCCGCGGUAAUACGUAGGUGACAAGCGUUGUCCGGAUUUACUGGGUGUAAAGGGCGCGUAGGCGGACUGUCAAGUCAGUCGUGAAAUACCGGGGCUUAACCCCGGGGCUGCGAUUGAAACUGACAGCCUUG